AUGAUAUGCUAUGUGAAAUAUUUCCGUGAAAUGGGAACGUGAACGACGUGGAUAUCCAUGUAAGCAUAGCUGGCUGGCUGAUUUCCUUCUUUCUUUUCUUCUUCCCGUAGAUUGAUUUCUUUCUUUCUUUCUUUCUUCCUCCUCCCUCCUUUCUUUCUACCUUUUUCCCGACGACCCUUCUCCCUUUUUCCCAUUUUCCCAACGAUCAUAGCUUCCCCUCUCGCGCGUGGCCUCUACUCUUACUUUUUGCCCUACGUUUUGCCUCCCUUUCUCCUGUCCGUCCGACCUUCAAUUGUGUUCGUGCUCGUCCGACGUCUAUGUAGUUUCAACUCGGUCUGACCAUCCGUGCCUUCCACCAUUCGACCGUCUGACCCUCAGCUUUGUUGUUGCACCGUUCGUCACGCACGGUCCUAAAACUGUCAUGGAGGAAGAAAUAAUUGAAUCAUGUGUGCCACUGAAUGAUAGUGAUUUGCAAGCAUUGGGUGAUUUGUCAAGCUCGCGGUGAAAUGAGACUCCAUAAGUUGGGAUGCAUUUUUCAUCUGAAGAGGAUCAAGCUCGUGAUUUUUACAAAUCCUAUGUCCAAGGUCUUGGUUUUGAUAUUUCAAAAAUACGUUCUAAAAAAGGAGAUGAUGGCUAGUAGAAAUAUUUUUUCGUUUGGAUGCUCUAAAAAUGGUAAGAAUGCUCCUAAGUUAAAAAUUCCUUUUAUCCUAGACCUUGUAGCAAAACAGAUUGCAAAGCAAGGAUAAAUAUUAUAGUUCGGAAUGAUGGAUUAUUUUUUCAUUGCUAGUAUUCACCUUGAACACAAUCAUGCAUUAAGUCCAAGAAAGUCGAGAUAUUUUAGAUGCAAUAAAGUGUUAGAUUCCCAAACUAAGAAGAAAUUAGAGUUGAAUGAUCAAACGGGAAUAACUUUGAGUAAAAGUUUUCAAUCAUUUGUUAUUAAAGUUGGUGGCUAUGAAAAUUUAUCGUUUGAUGAGAGAAAGUGUAGAAAUAAUGUGGUUGAAGCAUGUAAAUUAAGACUUAGGUAUGGUGAUGCAGAAGCCUUCAAUAAUUACUUUUGUCGUAUGCAAAGUACAAAUUCAACUUUCUUUUAUUCGAUUGAUGUAGCGAAGAUUGUCGCAUAAGAAAUAUAUUUUGGGAUGAUGCAAGAUGUAGGGCUUCGUAUGAGUAUUUUUCUGAUGUCAUUAUAUUUGAUACUACAUAUCUAACCAAUAAUUAUGAUAUGUUAUUUGCUCCGUUUGUUGGAUUAAAUCAUCAUGAUGAAUCUGUGUUACUUGGUUGUGGUUUGAUAUCUAAAGAAGACUUUGAAACCUUCAUUUGGCUAUUUAAAUCAUGGUUGGCAUACAUGAAAGGACGAGCUUCAUGAGGUAUUAUUACGGAUCAAUGUAAAGCCAUGGAAAUUAUAAUUCUUGAGGUAUUUUCAGACUCUUAUCAUCGCUUAUGUCUUUGGCAUAUUAUGAAAAAAAAAUUCAGCCAAGUUUGGUAGUCAUGCCAACUAUAAGUUGAUUAAGAAAAACUUGAAGAAUAUUGUUUAUAAUUCUUUGACUUCUGAAAAAUGUGAUAGCAAUUGGAAAAAAUUGAUUGAAGAUUUUAAUUUGGAGAAAAUUGAUUGGUUGAGUUCUUUAUGGGAUUGUCGUCAUAAGUGGAUGCAUAUGUAUGUGAAAUAUAAAUUUUGGACAGGGAUGUCGACAAGUCAAAGAAGUGAGAGUAUGAAUGCUUUUUUUUAUGCUUAUGUUCAUUUGAAAACAACUUUGAAGCAAUUUGUUGAACAGUAUGACAGCGCUUUGAAAAACAAGAUUGAAAAGAAAAAUAAUUCUGAUUUUGCGUCUUUCAAUUCAAUCAUUCCUGUCAUUAGUGGUCAUCCAAUUGAAAAGUAGUUUCAAAGUGUCUAUAAUAGCAAGAUAUUCAAGUUGUUUCAGGAUGAAAUGAGAGGUUUGAUGAUUUGUAACACUUUGUUUGUGAAGCAAGAAGGGCCAACUAUCUUAUAUGAAGUCGUGGAAACUAUAUUAGGAAAAGAGGGAGCAACUCCAAAAAAUAUUUCAUUAUUGGUACAAUAUAGUGAGGUAGAAUGUGAGAUGAAGUGUUUAUGCCGUCUCUUUGAGUUUCGAGGAAUUUUAUGUAGAUAUUUGAUUUUUAUUCUUGUCAAAAAGAAUGUCACUAGAGUUCUAAAAAAUUAUAUUUUGGAGCGAUUACGCAAAGAAAUUAAAUGUGGAUAUCAAAGCAUCACCAAUAUUUAUGAUGAUUUUUGUUAUCAUAAAAAAGAAAGACAAAGAUAUAAUAAUCUUCAACCCUUGUUACAAGAAGUGCAUCAGCUUGGGUUAAAGAUAAUGAGAGGUUCUCUGUUUUAAUGGGGAUAUUGAAAGAAGUAAAACAAAAGCUUAUGGAUAUUAACAUUGUUGAUUCGUUGGAUGGUGAUCAAUAUAGAAACAGGAUACAUGGGGAAUCAAGAAUUGAGAGCAAGAAGUUUCACACUCCACUGAAAAUAAGAUCUCAUGGACAUCUACCAACGAAAAGAAAACAAUCCAAAAUUGAGUAAAUUAUGAAAAAAGACAACGGUAAAGAGUAGAAAAAAAGAUUUGGUUGAAUUGAUUAUACUUUUGUUUUAUGUUUUGGAUAUAAUUAAUUUUACUUUUUAUUAUUGUUAACAUUGAACGUAAGUUAUUUUGUCUACAGGGUGAGAGAGUUUGGUAGAAAGCAAGAAGAAUUACCAAAUUUAGGGCAUACAAAUAUGAUCACUAACCAAUGUAGUCAAAAUGUUGUAGCUGAAUUAUGUUCAACAUUUUGACGAGGCACAUAAAGAAACUUGUGACAAUGAUGUGUGUUUGUCAAUGAUGUGUGACAAUGAUAUGAGCUAUUUUUCUCAUUUAACUCCGUUGUUUUGAAUAUGGUAUAUAGAAUGUAUUCUUGGUUAUGUUUUUCUCAUCCUUACACUUUAAUGUAGU